ACGGCUACCUUGUUACGACUUCACCCCAGUCAUGAAUCACUCCGUGGUAACCGUCCCCCUUGCGGUUAGACUAGCUACUUCUGGAGCAACCCACUCCCAUGGUGUGACGGGCGGUGUGUACAAGGCCCGGGAACGUAUUCACCGUGACAUUCUGAUUCACGAUUACUAGCGAUUCCGACUUCACGCAGUCGAGUUGCAGACUGCGAUCCGGACUACGAUCGGUUUUAUGGGAUUAGCUCCACCUCGCGGCUUGGCAACCCUUUGUACCGACCAUUGUAGCACGUGUGUAGCCCUGGCCGUAAGGGCCAUGAUGACUUGACGUCAUCCCCACCUUCCUCCGGUUUGUCACCGGCAGUCUCCUU
rnacentral:rRNA from 1 species